GACGAACGCUGGCGGCGUGCUUAACACAUGCAAGUCGAACGAAGAGCGAUGGACGCUUGCUUCUAUCAAUCUUAGUGGCGAACGGGUGAGUAACGCGUAAUCAACCUGCCCUUCAGAGGGGGACAACAGUUGGAAACGACUGCUAAUACCGCAUACGAUCUAAUCUCGGCAUCGAGGAUAGAUGAAAGGUGGCCUCUACAUGUAAGCUAUCACUGAAGGAGGGGAUUGCGUCUGAUUAGCUAGUUGGAGGGGUAACGGCCCACCAAGGCGAUGAUCAGUAGCCGGUCUGAGAGGAUGAACGGCCACAUUGGGACUGAGACACGGCCCAGACUCCUACGGGAGGCAGCAGUGGGGAAUCUUCCGCAAUGGACGAAAGUCUGACGGAGCAACGCCGCGGGAGCGAUGACGGCCUUCGGGUUGUAAAGCUCUGUUAAUCGGGACGAAAGGCCUUCUUGCGAAUAGGGAGAAGGAUUGACGGUACCGGAAUAGAAAGCCACGGCUAACUACGUG
rnacentral:rRNA from 1 species